UGGGGAAGAACUUGGGCCAGUCUUGGAGUGUGGGGAAGGCUCUGAUGGAUGCUCUGUGUCAGAAGCAGAGAUAGAUCCAGGGCCAUCCGACAUUUCCCAGCUGCCUUCGGAGUCAGAGAUAAGUGGGGAAGAAGAACAGCUGGGGCCUGUUCCAGAUGAGAAACCAUAUUUAUCGAGGAAGGAAAUCCAGACGGGAUUCAUCCAGCCUGUUGCUUCCCUAUGAAAUUAGGCAUCAAGCAUCGUAUACUUUUUGAGACACCCUAGGAAUACAAUCCUGGUCAAAUGUAUAAAACCAGGAGUAACGUUUUGCACGUGUUAGUUUUGGCGGGCACCCCCUAGUUUUGUGUUUUUCUUGGUGGAGACGUUCGUUUGCAAACCAGAUGCCGGCUGAAACAAAACCCAAGCUACUUUUAACUGCCAGAACCAAAGCUUUCCAAGAAGUAGGUUGCGGUCUACUGGAGGGGGAGAUGUCAAUGUUGCUGGCAAUUAUAAAUCAUUUGCAAUUUCCUGAGAUGAAGAAUGGGGAUUCCUCUCCUCCCACUCCACCCCCAGGGGAACUGCUCCUUCGUUUAGAAGACAAGAUGACUCAGUCUGGUGGAAUCAGUCAAUCUCAAAAAUUCAGCACAUAGAAGACGAAGACAGACGCGCAGUUGUGAUAAAAGGAUAAGGCAAAAUAACAUUGCGCCCACACUUCCUGAAUCUGCAUGGACAAAUGUUCAAUGCUCCUGUUUUACAUGGAGAUGUUGUCAAGGCCAAGAGGGGAAGAAAAGCGGCAUAAAAUCAGAGCUUUUUAAAGAAAUAAAAAUUAUAGAGCAUUAUUAUUAUUAUUAUUUCUUAGAGUGGGGGGAGGGAUUGUUGGGAGAUCUUCUGCACUAAGCCAGAGAUUCAAAUUUACAUUUCAUUUCCACUUGUUGAAAGAGUCCAAUUUCCAGUGUAAAAUUAUGUUUGUGUCUGUUCAGAAGUACGUGCCGUGGUUUCCAUGCGGCUUAUUCAUACAAAAUUAUAGGCUGAAAGGACUAAGUUAUUUAUUCAUUUUCUUCACUUAAAA